UGUGAGCUCGAUGAGUAGGGCGGGACACGUGGUAUCCUGUCUGAAUAUGGGGGGACCAUCCUCCAAGGCUAAAUACUCCUGACUGACCGAUAGUGAACCAGUACCGUGAGGGAAAGGCGAAAAGAACCCCGGCGAGGGGAGUGAAAAAGAACCUGAAACCGUGUACGUACAAGCAGUGGGAGCCUCUUUUAUGGGGUGACUGCGUACCUUUUGUAUAAUGGGUCAGCGACUUAUAUUCUGUAGCAAGGUUAACCGAAUAGGGGAGCCGAAGGGAAACCGAGUCUUAACUGGGCGUUAAGUUGCAGGGUAUAGACCCGAAACCCGGUGAUCUAGCCAUGGGCAGGUUGAAGGUUGGGUAACACUAACUGGAGGACCGAACCGACUAAUGUUGAAAAAUUAGCGGAUGACUUGUGGCUGGGGGUGAAAGGCCAAUCAAACCGGGAGAUAGCUGGUUCUCCCCGAAAGCUAUUUAGGUAGCGCCUCGUGAAUUCAUCUCCGGGGGUAGAGCACUGUUUCGGCAAGGGGGUCAUCCCGACUUACCAACCCGAUGCAAACUGCGAAUACCGGAGAAUGUUAUCACGGGAGACACACGGCGGGUGCUAACGUCCGUCGUGAAGAGGGAAACAACCCAGACCGCCAGCUAAGGUCCCAAAGUCAUGGUUAAGUGGGAAACGAUGUGGGAAGGCCCAGACAGCCAGGAUGUUGGCUUAGAAGCAGCCAUCAUUUAAAGAAAGCGUAAUAGCUCACUGGUCGAGUCGGCCUGCGCGGAAGAUGUAACGGGGCUAAACCAUGCACCGAAGCUGCGGCAGCGACGCUUAUGCGUUGUUGGGUAGGGGAGCGUUCUGUAAGCCUGUGAAGGUGUGCUGUGAGGCAUGCUGGAGGUAUCAGAAGUGCGAAUGCUGACAUAAGUAACGAUAAAGCGGGUGAAAAGCCCGCUCGCCGGAAGACCAAGGGUUCCUGUCCAACGUUAAUCGGGGCAGGGUGAGUCGACCCCUAAGGCGAGGCCGAAAGGCGUAGUCGAUGGGAAACAGGUUAAUAUUCCUGUACUUGGUGUUACUGCGAAGGGGGGACGGAGAAGGCUAUGUUGGCCGGGCGACGGUUGUCCCGGUUUAAGCGUGUAGGCUGGUUUUCCAGGCAAAUCCGGAAAAUCAAGGCUGAGGCGUGAUGACGAGGCACUACGGUGCUGAAGCAACAAAUGCCCUGCUUCCAGGAAAAGCCUCUAAGCAUCAGGUAACAUCAAAUCGUACCCCAAACCGACACAGGUGGUCAGGUAGAGAAUACCAAGGCGCUUGAGAGAACUCGGGUGAAGGAACUAGGCAAAAUGGUGCCGUAACUUCGGGAGAAGGCACGCUGAUAUGUAGGUGAAGCGACUUGCUCGUGGAGCUGAAAUCAGUCGAAGAUACCAGCUGGCUGCAACUGUUUAUUAAAAACACAGCACUGUGCAAACACGAAAGUGGACGUAUACGGUGUGACGCCUGCCCGGUGCCGGAAGGUUAAUUGAUGGGGUCAGCGCAAGCGAAGCUCUUGAUCGAAGCCCCGGUAAACGGCGGCCGUAACUAUAACGGUCCUAAGGUAGCGAAAUUCCUUGUCGGGUAAGUUCCGACCUGCACGAAUGGCGUAAUGAUGGCCAGGCUGUCUCCACCCGAGACUCAGUGAAAUUGAACUCGCUGUGAAGAUGCAGUGUACCCGCGGCAAGACGGAAAGACCCCGUGAACCUUUACUAUAGCUUGACACUGAACAUUGAGCCUUGAUGUGUAGGAUAGGUGGGAGGCUUUGAAGUGUGGACGCCAGUCUGCAUGGAGCCGACCUUGAAAUACCACCCUUUAAUGUUUGAUGUUCUAACGUUG
rnacentral:rRNA from 2 species